UACGUAGGGGGCUAGCGUUGUCCGGAAUCAUUGGGCGUAAAGCGCGCGUAGGCGGCUGGAUAAGUCCGGUGUGAAAGUCAAAGGCUCAACCUUUGAAUGCCGCUGGAAACUGUCUGGCUCGAGUCCGGGAGGGGCGAGUGGAAUUCCUGGUGUAGCGGUGAAAUGCGUAGAGAUCAGCAGGAACACCCGUGGCGAAGGCGGCCCCCUGGGCCGUACCUGACGCUGAGGCGCGAAGGCUAGGGGAGCGAACGGG
rnacentral:rRNA from 1 species